rnacentral:rRNA from 1 species
AUUACUUAAUGCUUUCGCUUAGACACUAACUGUAAUAUCGCUAAUGUCGAGUAAUCAUCGUUUAGGGCGUGGACUACCAGGGUAUCUAAUCCUGUUUGAUCCCCACGCUUUCGAGCCUCAGUGUCAAUCGCUCCGUAGUAAGCUGCCUUCGCAAUGGGUGUUCUAUGUCAUAUCUAAGCAUUUCACCGCUACAUGACAUAUUCCGCUUACCUCCAGAGAAUUCAAGACUAAUAGUAUCAAUGGCAGUUUUCGGGUUAAGCCCAAAGAUUUCACCACUGACUUAAAAGCCCACCUACGCUCCCUUUAAACCCAGUGAAUCCGGAUAACGCCUUGCACCCUCC